rnacentral:rRNA from 1 species
AUACGUAGGGGGCGAGCGUUGUCCGGAAUGAUUGGGCGUAAAGGGCGCGUAGGCGGCCCGGUAAGUCUGGAGUGAAAGUCCUGUUUUUAAGAUGGGAAUUGCUUUGGAUACUGUCGGGCUUGAGUGCAGGAGAGGUAAGUGGAAUUCCCAGUGUAGCGGUGAACUGCGUAGAGAUCGGGAGGAACACCAGUGGCGAAGGCGGGUAACUGGACUGCAACUGACGCUGAGGCGCGAAAGUGUGGGGAGCAAACAGGAUUAGAUACCCUGGUAGUCCACACUGUAAACGAUGAUGCUAGGUGUAAGAGGUAUCGACCCCUUUUGUGCCGGAGUCAACACAAUAAGCAUUCCGCCUGGGGAGUACGGCCGCAAGGUUGAAACUCAAAUGAAUUGACGGGG